rnacentral:ncRNA from 1 species
GCGAAUAUGAAUUUGUGAUUGCAACCCACGUCGAUCGUGAACACAUCCAUAACGUGCGCCCAGAUAGGGUGUUAAGUCAAGUAGUUUAAGGUACUACUCUGUAAGAUAACACAGAAAACAGCCAACCUAACCGAAAAGCGAAAGCUGAUACGGGAACAGAGCACGGUUGGAAAGCGAUGAGUUACCUAAAGACAAUCGGGUACGACUGAGUCGCAAUGUUAAUCAGAUAUAAGGUAUAAGUUGUGUUUACUGAACGCAAGUUUCUAAUUUCGGUUAUGUGUCGAUAGAGGAAAGUGUCUGAAACCUCUAGUACAAAGAAAGGUAAGUUAUGGUUGUGGACUUAUCUGUUAUCACCACAUUUGUACAAUCUGUAGGAGAACCUAUGGGAACGAAACGAAAGCGAUGCCGAGAAUCUGAAUUUACCAAGACUUAACACUAACUGGGGAUACCCUAAACAAGAAUGCCUAAUAGAAAGGAGGAAAAAGGCUAUAGCACUAGAGCUUGAAAAUCUUGCAAGGGUACGGAGUACUCGUAGUAGUCUGAGAAGGGUAACGCCCUUUACAUGGCAAAGGGGUACAGUUAUUGUGUACUAAAAUUAAAAAUUGAUUAGGGAGGAAAACCUCAAAAUGAAACCAACAAUGGCAAUUUUAGAAAGAAUCAGUAAAAAUUCACAAGAAAAUAUAGACGAAGUUUUUACAAGACUUUAUCGUUAUCUUUUACGUCCAGAUAUUUAUUACGUGGCGUAUCAAAAUUUAUAUUCCAAUAAAGGAGCUUCCACAAAAGGAAUAUUAGAUGAUACAGCGGAUGGCUUUAGUGAAGAAAAAAUAAAAAAGAUUAUUCAAUCUUUAAAAGACGGAACUUACUAUCCUCAACCUGUACGAAGAAUGUAUAUUGCAAAAAAGAAUUCUAAAAAGAUGAGACCUUUAGGAAUUCCAACUUUCACAGAUAAAUUGAUCCAAGAAGCUGUGAGAAUAAUUCUUGAAUCUAUCUAUGAACCGGUAUUCGAAGAUGUGUCUCACGGUUUUAGACCUCAACGAAGCUGUCACACAGCUUUGAAAACAAUCAAAAGAGAGUUUGGCGGCGCAAGAUGGUUUGUGGAGGGAGAUAUAAAAGGCUGCUUCGAUAAUAUAGACCACGUUACACUCAUUGGACUCAUCAAUCUUAAAAUCAAAGAUAUGAAAAUGAGCCAAUUGAUUUAUAAAUUUCUAAAAGCAGGUUAUCUGGAAAACUGGCAGUAUCACAAAACUUACAGCGGAACACCUCAAGGUGGAAUUCUAUCUCCUCUUUUGGCCAACAUCUAUCUUCAUGAAUUGGAUAAGUUUGUUUUACAACUCAAAAUGAAGUUUGACCGAGAAAGUCCAGAAAGAAUAACACCUGAAUAUCGGGAACUUCACAAUGAGAUAAAAAGAAUUUCUCACCGUCUCAAGAAGUUGGAGGGUGAAGAAAAAGCUAAAGUUCUUUUAGAAUAUCAAGAAAAACGUAAAAGAUUACCCACACUCCCCUGUACCUCACAGACAAAUAAAGUAUUGAAAUACGUCCGGUAUGCGGACGACUUCAUUAUCUCUGUUAAAGGAAGCAAAGAGGACUGUCAAUGGAUAAAAGAACAAUUAAAACUUUUUAUUCAUAACAAGCUAAAAAUGGAAUUGAGUGAAGAAAAAACACUCAUCACACAUAGCAGUCAACCCGCUCGUUUUCUGGGAUAUGAUAUACGAGUAAGGAGAAGUGGAACGAUAAAACGAUCUGGUAAAGUCAAAAAGAGAACACUCAAUGGGAGUGUAGAACUCCUUAUUCCUCUUCAAGACAAAAUUCGUCAAUUUAUUUUUGACAAGAAAAUAGCUAUCCAAAAGAAAGAUAGCUCAUGGUUUCCAGUUCACAGGAAAUAUCUUAUUCGUUCAACAGACUUAGAAAUCAUCACAAUUUAUAAUUCUGAAUUAAGAGGGAUUUGUAAUUACUACGGUCUAGCAAGUAAUUUUAACCAGCUCAAUUAUUUUGCUUAUCUUAUGGAAUACAGCUGUCUAAAAACGAUAGCCUCCAAACAUAAGGGAACACUUUCAAAAACCAUUUCCAUGUUUAAAGAUGGAAGUGGUUCGUGGGGCAUCCCGUAUGAGAUAAAGCAAGGUAAGCAGCGCCGUUAUUUUGCAAAUUUUAGUGAAUGUAAAUCCCCUUAUCAAUUUACGGAUGAGAUAAGUCAAGCUCCUGUAUUGUAUGGCUAUGCCCGGAAUACUCUUGAAAACAGGUUAAAAGCUAAAUGUUGUGAAUUAUGUGGAACAUCUGAUGAAAAUACUUCCUAUGAAAUUCACCAUGUCAAUAAGGUCAAAAAUCUUAAAGGCAAAGAAAAAUGGGAAAUGGCAAUGAUAGCGAAACAACGUAAAACUCUUGUUGUAUGCUUUCAUUGUCAUCGUCACGUGAUUCAUAAACACAAGUGAAUUUUUACGAACGAACAAUAACAGAGCCGUAUACUCCGAGAGGGGUACGUACGGUUCCCGAAGAGGGUGGUGCAAACCAGUCACAGUAAUGUGAACAAGGCGGUACCUCCCUACUUCACCAUAUCAUUUUUAAUUCUACGAAUCUUUAUACUGGCAAACAAUUUGACUGGAAAG